UACGGGGGGGGUAAGCGUUGUUCGGAAUUACUGGGCGUAAAGGGCUCGUAGGCGGCCAACUAAGUCAUACGUGAAAAUCCCUCAGCUUAACUGGGGAACUGCGUGUGAUACUGGAUGGCUUGGAUUUGGGAGAGGGAUGCGGAAUUCCAGGUGUAGCGGUGAAAUGCGUAGAUAUCUGGAGGAACACCGGUGGCGAAGGCGGCAUCCUGGACCAAUAUUGACGCUGAGGAGCGAAAGCUAGGGGAGCAAACGGGG
rnacentral:rRNA from 1 species